rnacentral:rRNA from 1 species
UUUUUAGAGUUUGAUCCUGGCUCAGGACGAACGCUGGCGGCGUGCCUAAUACAUGCAAGUCGUACGCUUCUUUUUCCACCGGAGCUUGCUCCACCGGAAAAAGAAGAGUGGCGAACGGGUGAGUAACACGUGGGUAACCUGCCCAUCAGAAGGGGAUAACACUUGGAAACAGGUGCUANUACCGUAUAACAAUCGAAACCGCAUGGUUUUGAUUUGAAAGGCGCUUUCGGGUGUCGCUGAUGGAUGGACCCGCGGUGCAUUAGCUAGUUGGUGAGGUAACGGCUCACCAAGGCCACGAUGCAUAGCCGACCUGAGAGGGUGAUCGGCCACAUUGGGACUGAGACACGGCCCAAACUCCUACGGGAGGCAGCAGUAGGGAAUCUUCGGCAAUGGACGAAAGUCUGACCGAGCAACGCCGCGUGAGUGAAGAAGGUUUUCGGAUCGUAAAACUCUGUUGUUAGAGAAGAACAAGGAUGAGAGUAACUGUUCAUGCCCUGACGGUAUCAACCAGAAGCCCG